UAACGACGUCCAGUUUCUUCUUUCUUUCAUAGAAAAAAAAACAAACUCAUCAGAUUCUAUAUUCGAAGCUGACAAUUUCGCUAACCGAUAUCAAAAAAAACAUCGAUCUGGGUUCUAAUAUUUUUUCGAUCUCUACUGCCGAAGAAGAUUGGGAUUCUAGAAAUGGAAGAGGUCAAGGUAUACCGCGGAUCAUUGAAAAUGGAUGGUUGCCGCAGCUCCAAUUUAUAAUUUCAUCUCGAUGAUCUGCUUCCACAAAGAUAAUAAGUCUGUUUGUUAUUUCAAACAUAUCCUGUUUCCUUUUUUAUAAAAUUUUAUAUUAACGAUUACUUCUACUAUGUGUACGUCACAAACCCAAUAAAUUGCUGAUAUGUUGUCUACACACAGGAAGCUCUUUUCACAUAAGCAAUGGAAAAAGGUCAGUAUUUGAAUAGAUCUUAGUAGUUAUAGAUACCUCGUCAGUUGUAAGUAGCUCUGAUAUGGUUUUCCGGGAAAACUGAACAUAAUAAUCAUCAAUCAAUGAUACAAUCUGGUUGUUUGGUACAUUCUCUCGGAAGGUAAGAGCCAGACCAUCGUUUGGAAGUCUGAAUGAAAAGGGAAAAUUGUUAAAGUAGUUUAAUCAUAAUAAGGGGAAAUUUUUAAAACUUUAAAUUCUCACGUUUGAAUAAAAUCAGCAACUUCAGGAUAGGGAGGGUUAAUAAAAACUUGAGUAGCACUGUAAGAAUUAGACAAACUCACAACACCUGAAAAACACAUGCUUUUUAACAUUAGUAGUAUCUUAUUAUAUUACCAUAUAUAUAUUAAAACGACUCAUUCCCUUAUACUUAUACCAUUAUAAACAAUUGAUUAAAAACAGAGCAUACCUUUAAAGUUUUUGACUUUCGCAAAUCUGAUCACACAUAUCACUGUUGGUCCAUCAACUUCCUAGCAAGCAGCAAAAACUUGUUGAGCAAGUGCACCCCAUAGUGUGCAAGGUAGCCGUACAUCCUUGUAUAAGAAGUGAGUUACUAAAUAAAUAAAAGGUUUUUUUAAACGAAGCCCUACCUCAAUCAAUCCGUUUUUGAAACACAACUUACUUUUCAUCUCUCAACUCGAAAUCGAGCUUAUGAUUCGGCUUGUUAUUAGUUUCCUUUUCCUCCAAUUCUCCUAUGUUAACAACUUGGCCGAUUGCAUCUAUGAAAUAAAAUCAUAUUUUCAUAAACAGUACAACAAACUUAAGUUUAACUGAAGUCAUACUUGUUAAUAAAAAUUAAAACUUACCAACUAACAUACAUGGAUUAAUCUCUUCAUUCAAAAUUGGCUCAAACUUAGCAAGACUCAAGUAGUUGGAUGCAAAUACAUCUUCACAACGCGAGACAACCGUGCUAGUUUGGAAACCAAUCUUGUACAAAUGAUUGGUUGGGCGAAACUGACCUGUUGCAUGAGUAAGGCCGAAGGUUUCUACAAACCUCCACUCACCAACUCGAAUCUGAGGAGCAAACCGUGGAACUAAAUCCUUCUUCACGCUUGCAUGUAUUUUAAUGCCAUAAGAUAUAUAUGAAACGUAGCAGGUGUAUUGGCGCCAUGAAUGCAAGAUCUUGACUUGGAUCCUCCAUGAAGAUUUGUAAGGACGCAAUUCUCGGAGAAGAGCAAAUGAAGUUGUCAUUGAAUAGACGAAGAAGACUUUGUUGGUAAGAUGUUUGCGUUUUUGCUGUGGUAAGAUGUGAGGUGAGUUCCUCAUAAUCUUCCAUUAUUUAUAUUGAUGUGUAAAGUUUACUGUUAAAGGAAGAAUUUAAUGUAAUUCUUGGUGACCAAGGAGAAGAUCGGUGUCAAAUUUAAUGGAGGAAUUUUUGGAAUAGUUGAUUAUGUUGAUGUAAUAAGGAAGGCUUUCAAAGUUUUCUUGUUUAUUAUGUCCAUCGAAUAUUUUAUA